GUUUUUUGAGAUGAUGAUUCACUUAUUCCUGAACCUGUAGCAGAUGAUCCAGUUGUUCCUGAUUCUGAUCUUACAGUUGUCCCUGAAACUCCGGGUGUUACACCAGUGGGUCCUGGCAUUUCAGCUGUUGGACCAGUUGUUCCUUUCCCUUCUGCUGGGGUUCUAGUUGUCCCGGUUCCUUUAGAUGGUGAUUCUGUUGUCCCAGAACCCUGAGCAUGUGAUCCAGUUGUUGCUAAUUCCCCAGGUGCCACACCAGUGGUUCCUGACAUACCGCCUGUUGGGCCAGUUGUCCCUGCCCCUCCAGUGGAUGACCUGGUUGUCCCUGAUAUUUCAGAUAAUGAUUCACUUGUUCCUGAACCUCUGAAAGAUGUUCCAGUUGUCCCUGAUCCUUCAGGUGUUACACCAGUAGUUCCUGACAUGUGAUCCAUUGAGACCGUUGUUCCUUUCCCUUCUGCUGGGGUUCUGGUUGUCCCAGUUCCUUCAGAUGGUGAUCCGGUUGUCCCUGUUCUUUCAGAGUGGGA